CCUACGGGUGACAGCAGUGAGGAAUAUUGGUCAAUGGGCGAGAGCCUGAACCAGCCAAGUCGCGUGAGGGAGUACUGCCCUAUGGGUUGUAAACCUCUUUUGUCGGGGAGCAAAAGCCGGACGUGUCCGGCUGUGAGAGUACCCGAAGAAAAAGCAUCGGCUAAAUCCGUGCCAGCAGCCGCGGUAAUACGGGGGAUGCGAGCUUUAUCCGGAUUUAUUGGGUUUAAAGGGUGCGCAGGCGGAUUUUUAAGUCAGCGGUAAAAUCGUGGGGCUCAAACGCGUCCUGCCGUUGAAACUGGGGAUCUAGAGUGUGCGAGAGGUAGGCGGAAUGCGUGGUGUAGCGGUGAAAUGCAUAGAUAUCACGCAGAACCCCGAUUGCGAAGGCAGCAUACCGGUGCACAACUGACGCUCAGGCACGAAAGCGUGGGUAUCGAACAGGAUUAGAUACCCCAGUAGUC
rnacentral:rRNA from 1 species